rnacentral:rRNA from 1 species
AACGAACGCUGGCGGCAGGCCUAACACAUGCAAGUCGAACGCUCCGCAAGGAGAGUGGCAGACGGGUGAGUAACACGUGGGAAUCUUCCUACCGGUACGGAAUAGCUCAGGGAAACUUGAGGUAAUACCGCAUACGCCCUUCGGGGGAAAGAUGUAUCGCCGAUAGAUGAGCCCGCGUCUGAUUAGCUAGUUGGUGGGGUAAUGGCCUACCAAGGCGACGAUCAGUAGCUGGUCUGAGAGGAUGACCAGCCACACUGGGACUGAGACACGGCCCAGACUCCUACGGGAGGCAGCAGUGGGGAAUAUUGGACAAUGGGCGCAAGCCUGAUCCAGCCAUGCCGCGUGAGUGACGAAGGUCUUCGGAUUGUAAAGCUCUUUUGCCAGGGACGAUAAUGACGGUACCUGGAGAAUAAGCCCCGGCUAACCUCGUGCCAGCCGCCGCAGUAAUAC